GUGAGUAGUUCAGAGUUUGAUCCUGGCUCAGGAUGAACGCUGGCGGCGUGCCUAACACAUUCAAGUCGAACGGAGUUAAAUAUCUUAAUCUUCGGAAGCGGAUGUUUGACUUAGCGGCGGACGGGUGAGUAACGCGUGAGCAACCUUUCUCUCAGUGGGGAAUAACACAGGGAAACUUGUACUAAUACCGCAUGAGACCACAGAGUCGCAUGACUUAGGGGUCAAAGAUUUAUUGCUGAGAGGUGGGCUCGCGUCUGAUUAGGUAGUUGGUGAGGUAACGGCCCACCAAGCCGACGAUCAGUAGCCGACCUGAGAGGGUGAUCGGCCACAUUGGGACUGAGACACGGCCCAA
rnacentral:rRNA from 1 species